GAUGAACGCUGGCGGCGUACCUAAUACAUGCAAGUAGAACGCUGAAGCUUGGUGCUUGCACCGAGCGGAUGAGUUGCGAACGGGUGAGUAACGCGUAGGUAACCUGCCUCUUAGCGGGGGAUAACUAUUGGAAACGAUAGCUAAUACCGCAUAAAAGUCGACAUCGCAUGAUGUUGACUUGAAAGGUGCAAUUGCAUCACUAAGAGAUGGACCUGCGUUGUAUUAGCUAGUUGGUGAGGUAACGGCCCACCAAGGCGACGAUACAUAGCCGACCUGAGAGGGUGAUCGGCCACACUGGGACUGAGACACGGCCCAGACUCCUACGGGAGGCAGCAGUAGGGAAUCUUCGGCAAUGGGGGCAACCCUGACCGAGCAACGCCGCGUGAGUGAAGAAGGUUUUCGGAUCGUAAAGCUCUGUUGUAAGAGAAGAACGAGUGUGAGAGUGGAAAGUUCACACUGUGACGGUAACUUACCAGAAAGGGACGGCUAACUACGUGCCAGCAGCCGCGGUAAUACGUAGGUCCCGAGCGUUAUCCGGAUUUAUUGGGCGUAAAGCGAGCGCAGGCGGUUAGAUAAGUCUGAAGUUAAAGGCUGUGGCUUAACCAUAGUACGCUUUGGAAACUGUUUAACUUGAGUGCAGAAGGGGAGAGUGGAAUUCCAUGUGUAGCGGUGAAAUGCGUAGAUAUAUGGAGGAACACCGGUGGCGAAAGCGGCUCUCUGGUCUGUAACUGACGCUGAGGCUCGAAAGCGNNGGGAGCAAACAGG
rnacentral:rRNA from 1 species